rnacentral:rRNA from 1 species
UACGUAGGUGGCGAGCGUUGUCCGGAUUUACUAGCCGUAAAGAGCGCGCAGGCGGUCGUACAAGUCGCGUGUGAAAGCCCCCGGCUCAACUGGGGAGGGUCACGCGAUACUGUUCGACUCGAAGGCAGGAGAGGGUAGUGGGAUUCCCGGUGUAGUGGUGAAAUGCGUAGAUAUCGGGAGGAACACCAGUGGCGAAGGCGACUACCUGGCCUGUUCUUGACGCUGAGGCGCGAAAGCCAGGGGAGCAAACGGG